UACGUAGGGUGCGAGCGUUGUCCGGAAUUACUGGGCGUAAAGAGCUCGUAGGCGGUUUGGUAAGUCUGGUGUGAAAUCUCCACGCUCAACGUGGAGGGGCCACCCGAUACUGCCAUGACUGGAGUCCGGUAGAGGAGUGUGGAAUUCCCGGUGUAGCGGUGAAAUGCGCAGAUAUCGGGAGGAACACCGGUGGCGAAGGCGGCUUGCUGGGCCAGUUCUGACGCUGAGGAGCGAAAGCGUGGGGAGCGAACAGG
rnacentral:rRNA from 1 species